rnacentral:rRNA from 1 species
GGCCGCGGUACCCUAACCGUGCAAAGGUAGCGUAAUCACUUGUCUAUUAAUUGUAGACCCGUAUGAAAGGCAAAAUGAGGGUCUAACUGUCUCUUAUAGUAAAUCAAUUAAACUGAUCUCCCAGUCCAAAAGCUGGGAUCCACCCAUAAGACCAGAAGACCCUGUGAAGCUUAAACUAAACUAUUAAACCCAAUAAUAAUUCCUUUCGGUUGGGGCGACCUUGGAAAAAAAAAGAACUUCCAAAUAUACGAUCAUUCAUCACAUCCACUCCGGCCAACAAGCCUAACACGACCCAGCACAGCUGAUAACCGAACCAAGCUACUCCAGGGAUAACAGCGCUAUCUUCUUCAAGAGCCCAUAUCAAAAAGAAGGUUUACGACCUCGAUGUUGGAUCAGGACAUCCUAAUGGUGCAGCCGCUA